UACAGAGACCUCAAGCGUUAUCCGGAAUCAUUGGGCGUAAAGCGUACCGAUAGGUGGUUUAUAAAGUCUUGGGUAAAAGCCGGAAGCUCAACUUCCGCGUUUGCUUAAGAUACUUAUAGACUAGAGGGGCAAAGAGGUGCUUGGAACCAACGGUGUAGUAGUGAAAUGCGUUGAUAUUGUUGGGAACACCGAAAGCGAAGGCAGAGCACUGGGUGCCACCUGACACUGCUAGGACGAAAGCGUGGGGAGCGAAUGGG
rnacentral:rRNA from 1 species